rnacentral:rRNA from 1 species
GACGAACGCUGGCGGCGUGCUUAACACAUGCAAGUCGAACGGAAAGGCCCUGCUUUUGUGGGGUGCUCGAGUGGCGAACGGGUGAGUAACACGUGAGUAACCUGCCCUUGACUUUGGGAUAACUUCAGGAAACUGGGGCUAAUACCGGAUAGGAGCUCCUGCUGCAUGGUGGGGGUUGGAAAGUUUCGGCGGUUGGGGAUGGACUCGCGGCUUAUCAGCUUGUUGGUGGGGUAGUGGCUUACCAAGGCUUUGACGGGUAGCCGGCCUGAGAGGGUGACCGGCCACAUUGGGACUGAGAUACGGCCCAGACUCCUACGGGAGGCAGCAGUGGGGAAUAUUGCACAAUGGGCGGAAGCCUGAUGCAGCAACGCCGCGUGCGGGAUGACGGCCUUCGGGUUGUAAACCGCUUUCGCCUGUGACGAAGCGUGAGUGACGGUAAUGGGUAAAGAAGCACCGGCUAACUACGUGCCAGCAGCCGCGGUGAUACGUAGGGUGCGAGCGUUGUCCGGAUUUAUUGGGCGUAAAGGGCUCGUAGGUGGUUGAUCGCGUCGGAAGUGUAAUCUUGGGGCUUAACCCUGAGCGUGCUUUCGAUACGGGUUGACUUGAGGAAGGUAGGGGAGAAUGGAAUUCCUGGUGGAGCGGUGGAAUGCGCAGAUAUCAGGAGGAACACCAGUGGCGAAGGCGGUUCUCUGGGCCUUUCCUGACGCUGAGGAGCGAAAGCGUGGGGAGCGAACAGGCUUAGAUACCCUGGUAGUCCACGCUGUAAACGGUGGGUACUAGGUGUGGGGUCCAUUCCACGGGUUCCGUGCCGUAGCUAACGCUUUAAGUACCCCGCCUGGGGAGUACGGCCGCAAGGCUAAAACUCAAAGGAAUUGACGGGGCCCCGCACAAGCGGCGGAGCAUGCGGAUUAAUUCGAUGCAACGCGUAGAACCUUACCUGGGUUUGACAUGGAUCGGGAGUGCUCAGAGAUGGGUGUGCCUCUUUUGGGGUCGGUUCACAGGUGGUGCAUGGCUGUCGUCAGCUCGUGUCGUGAGAUGUUGGGUUAAGUCCCGCAACGAGCGCAACCCUUGUUCACUGUUGCCAGCACGUUAUGGUGGGGACUCAGUGGAGACCGCCGGGGUCAACUCGGAGGAAGGUGGGGAUGACGUCAAGUCAUCAUGCCCCUUAUGUCCAGGGCUUCACGCAUGCUACAAUGGCUGGUACAGAGAGUGGCGAGCCUGUGAGGGUGAGCGAAUCUCGGAAAGCCGGUCUCAGUUCGGAUUGGGGUCUGCAACUCGACCUCAUGAAGUCGGAGUCGCUAGUAAUCGCAGAUCAGCAACGCUGCGGCGAAUACGUUCCCGGGGCUUGUACACACCGCCCGUCAAGUCAUGAAAGUUGGUAACACCCGAAGCCGGUGGCCUAACCGUUGUGGGGGAGCCGUCGAAGGUGGGACUGGUGAUUAGGACU